rfam:Ovis aries breed Texel chromosome 1, whole genome shotgun sequence.
UCCCUGGUGGCUCAGACGGUAAAGCAUCUGCCUACAAUGCAGGAGACCUGGGUUCAAUCCCUGGGUUGGGAA